UACGGGGGGGGGGCAAGCGUUGUUCGGAAUUACUGGGCGUAAAGGGCUCGUAGGUGGCCAACUAAGUCAGACGUGAAAUCCCCAGGCUCAACCUGGGAACUGCGUCUGAUACUGGAUGGCUUGAAUUCGGGAGAGGGAUGCAGAAUUCCAGGUGUAGCGGUGAAAUGCGUAGAUAUCUGGAGGAAUACCGGUGGCGAAGGCGGCAUCCUGGACCGAUACUGACGCUGAGGCGCGAAAGCGUGGGGAGCAAACAGG
rnacentral:rRNA from 1 species